rnacentral:lncRNA from 1 species
UGGUGAUGAAGGGUUUCUGGCGGUGAGUGGGUUGAGGAGUGAAAAAGAAACGGAAGUUAUGGUAAUGGCAUUAGAAAAGAGAGAGAAGAUCGAUGUGAAUCAAUGAAGAAGAACUCCCUCGCUCUUUUUCAGCUCCACCGUGAUCCACCCAAACUCUGAUCGUCACCUUGUGUUUUCGGCGACAAAACCCCUAAUCCAUUUUCCAUCCAGAGAGAAUAUCGUUGGAAAUCCAAUUCAAAUGAAAACCGUAGAUUUUGGGUUCAG